ACUCCUACGGGAGGCAGCAGUGGGGAAUAUUGGACAAUGGGCGCAAGCCUGAUCCAGCAAUGCCGCGUGAGUGAUGAAGGCCUUAGGGUUGUAAAGCUCUUUUACCAGGGAUGAUAAUGACAGUACCUGGAGAAUAAGCUCCGGCUAACUCCGUGCCAGCAGCCGCGGUAAUACGGAGGGAGCUAGCGUUGUUCGGAAUUACUGGGCGUAAAGCGCGCGUAGGCGGUUACUCAAGUCAGAGGUGAAAGCCCGGGGCUCAACCCCGGAACUGCCUUUGAAACUAGGUGACUAGAAUCUUGGAGAGGUCAGUGGAAUUCCGAGUGUAGAGGUGAAAUUCGUAGAUAUUCGGAAGAACACCAGUGGCGAAGGCGACUGACUGGACAAGUAUUGACGCUGAGGUGCGAAAGCGUGGGGAGCAAACAGGAUUAGAUACCCGUGGUAGGAUAGCG
rnacentral:rRNA from 1 species